rnacentral:rRNA from 1 species
UACGUAGGCAGCAAGCGUUGUUCGGAGUUACUGGGCGUAAAGGGUGCGUAGGCGGCUCUAUAAGUAUGGUGUGAAAUCUCCCGGCUUAACUGGGAGGGUGCGCUAUAGACUGUGGGGCUAGAGUGUGGGGAGAGGAAAGUGGAAUUCCUGGUGUAGCGGUGAAAUGCGUAGAUAUCAGGAGGAACACCGGUGGUGUAAACGGCUUUCUGGACCAUAACUGACGCUGAGGCACGAAAGCGUGGGUAGCAAACAGG